rnacentral:rRNA from 1 species
GAUUUCCUACGGGACGCAGCAGUAGGGAAUCUUCCACAAUGGACGAAAGUCUGAUGGAGCAACGCCGCGUGAGUGAAGAAGGGUUUCGGCUCGUAAAACUCUGUUGGUAGUGAAGAAAGAUAGAGGUAGUAACUGGCCUUUAUUUGACGGUAAUUACUUAGAAAGUCACGGCUAACUACGUGCCAGCAGCCGCGGUAAUACGUAGGUGGCAAGCGUUGUCCGGAUUUAUUGGGCGUAAAGCGAGUGCAGGCGGUUCAAUAAAGC